AACCCGGAGGCUCCGGCCGCCGCGUGCCCAUUCUAACCGCCUCCGGGCCUCAGCGGAACCAGGACUGCACCGAGAACUUCGCUUCCUCCAUCCCACCCGAGGGCUGUCCAAAAACCAUCUCCUGCCGCUCGAGUGAAGAGACUGACCUGAGUCCAGAACCCGUUAUCAGCCUCCAGGCUCCGGUAAACAGAGAACGCCGAAACGCAAGAAUCGGCCAUGGUAGCCCCUGCGAACGGUCGAGGAAUGGGCGGGGCCGGUGCGUCCUGACGUCGAAACAGUGGUUAGCACUGCUGCCUCACAGUGCCAGGAACCUAGGUUCGAUUCCGGCCUCGUGCAGCUGUCUGUGUGGAGUUUGCGUAUUCUCCCUGUGUCUGCGUUGGUUUCCUUCAGGUGCUCCGGUUUGCAGGAAUAUGCAGGAGCUCACCACUGGAACAAAGAGAAAGCAUAUCAGAAGAGAAAGCUGGCACCAGAAGAGAUUUUGAGCAAGGCCUCUGGCAUUGUUGGCCUUGAUUGGUAAGAGAUGGACAGGAGCUACCCAAAGUGAACCGACAGAUAAUUUUCUCUCCUUGUGUAGCUUCUGGUCUCCCUAAAUCUCCUGAGAUUAGGUAGUGUGCAACAAUUUGAAGCUUGUUUGCAAGAGUACAUUCUAUGCCCCAGCCCACUGAAACACUUAUGCAUGGCAGCAAGUCCAAUACUAAUUAACAACACAUAUUGAACUGUUUAUUUGGAUCGGCUUGAAGUGACAACAAAUGAAUGUUCAUCAGGUUUUGAAGACUUAAAGAUCAAAUCCUCUCAAGAAGCUAAAGCUGACAAUCAAUUGCAUGGCCCAUGUACAUUGUGUCUGGGCAAACGUGGAGCUGAGGGUGCGUUCAAUUGUAUUGAUCCACCAACAGAGUUUAUCUAUCCAAUUACUUCUAUUUAACAUUGUACAGGAGGAUCGUUUCUACUGCUGACCUUGUAAAAUAGAUUUUUUUGGUGAGGAAUGUUCUGCCUCAAGUACAUUAAACAGCCUGAGUGUGACUCUUCUUUGUUCAUUAGAGCAAUUUGUUGUGCUAAUGUAAAAGUUGCCUCAAUGAUCAUUAACUUUUGUAUUGCUGAUUGGUUCUUUUGAGAUGUGUUUUCGUGCAACUAAAAAAGUUCUAAGUUUAAGUUUGUUAAAAAUAUUUAAUAGCCUUAGUUCAGUUGAUAAUAUGCUAAAAAGGUGUGUAUUCAUCUCCCAGUCCAGAGGCUAGUCCACGUAAAGCAGAUUGAUAUUUCAGUGUACUAUGGGGAGAGCACUGUCCUAUCGGAGAUGUUGUCUUUUCAUCUCAUCAGAGAUGUUAAAAUGAGGCCUCAUCCAUUUUCUGAGGCGGAACUAACAGAUGCAGUAGAAAUAUGCAAAGAGCUCAGUACAGUUCUGCUCCCAUGAAAUGCGCAACAUUGCCCUCUCAAUCAGCAUCAAUAAGACCAAUUAUCUGGUUAUUAUCGUGUUGGGCAUCUUACCGUGACUAAUUGGAUGCAACAUUUCCUACAUCAGUGGCCAUGUUUCAAAAACACUACAUUUCUAAAGCAAAAUGCCUUGAGAUGACCUGAGUUUGUGAAAAA